GAUGAAGAACGCAGCGAAAUGCGAUAAGUAAUGUGAAUUGCAGAAUUCAGUGAAUCAUCGAAUCUUUGAACGCACAUUGCGCCCGCCAGUAUUCUGGCGGGCAUGCCUGUCCGAGCGUCAUUACAACCCUCAGGCCCCCGGGCCUGGCGUUGGGGAUCGGCGGAGCCCCCCGUGGGCACACGCCGUCCCCCAAAUGCAGUGGCGGUCCCGCCGCAGCUUCCAUCGCGUAGUAGCUAACACCUCGCGACUGGAGAGCGGCGCGGCCACGCCGUAAAACACCCAACUCUUCUGAAGUUGACCUCGAAUCAGGUAGGAAUACCCGCUGAACUUAAGCAUAUCAAUAAGCGGAGGA
rnacentral:misc_RNA from 1 species